GGAUUUCUUCAGCCACACAAAACUGACUAAAAUCACAGGCAGGGAUGGUUGUGUUGACAGAACCCAGCACAGCACAAGAAAGCUGCCUUCAAGAAUGGUGGUGAUGUCACCCUGCUGAGAAACAAGCUGGAGCAAGGCUGGGCUCCCCCUCUGAUGAGGUCAGGAAUGAGGAGCCGUGUUGCACAUCAGGAGGUGCUUGUGCCAUGGCACAGGCUGCAGCUUGCUACAGAAGCAAGCUCUGUCUUCCUCUGACCCUUGCUCUCAAUCUGUUACCCAACAACGUUCAGGGCUUCCCUGAUGUCAUCUCAUAGGGACGUUUCUCUGUGAGCAGCAGGAAGCCAUUGCCUGUGUCAGACUUGGAGUUGAUCCACCCACGGCCGGUUCUUUCAGAUUGUCACUAUCAAACUGACCCUGUGACAAGGAGGAAAACAUGGGCGAUGUGUGGAAACUCAAGUGCAGAUUUUGGAGGGUCACAAAUUAAAGAAACCAACUUCUGUGUAAGUCAAGAAUCAAAAGACAAGAACCCAGAGGCUCCUGACAUAAAGCCCACCUGAGGUCAAAGGGAAAGCCCUGAUGGACUCAAACACACCCCACUUUCCCCAAAUCACCGCAGCUGCCUGGAUUUUAAGCCUGAACCUCAGAACUGUCGAGACAAGUUUCUAGAAUCUGGCUCACCAAACUUGGGAGGAUUCCUGGCAAAGCCUCCGGGUUUCUUCGGGAUUUCAGGUGUUCUUAACUUUGCCCAAUUGCAUCGCCAGACAGGAUUUUAUCAUCUCUGCCUUUUACUUUAUACACUCUUGAGUUUGUUUAUCUUUUGUAAAAUUGUAAAAGGUCAAACUUCA